UAAAGAGAGAAAGCGAGGGAAAAUGUCCUUUCUGAGAAAAUAAUCUGCGAGCAAAAGAAUUAGGUUUUUUAGAGUGAAGAAGCUGCAGAAAAGAACCGAGAAAAUUAAAAGUGAUAUUCUAGGGUUUCUGAAAGAAUUUUCCACGAAGCCAAACGGGGACGUAGUUACCAGGAAAUCGAAAGAGAAACAGAGAGUUUGACCGACGAGAAGGGAGAUAGAGAAUGUUGCAAUUGUAUGCGACAGCGAUGGCUUCUUCUUCUUCGUCGUCGGCGACGGUGGCAGUGGAGAAGGCGACGAGCGACCUUCUGAUUGGGCCUGAUUGGACUAUGAACAUCGAUAUCUGCGAUUGCGUUAAUUCUCUCCGUUGGCAGGCAAAAGAUGUUGUGAAAGCUGUAAAAAGGAGGGUGCAGCACAAGAACUCUAAAGUGCAACUACUUUCUUUGACGCUUCUGGAGACGAUGGUGAAAAACUGUGGUGAUUAUGUUCAUUUUCAAAUUGCUGAGAAGAAUAUACUGGGAGAGAUGGUAAAGAUCGUAAAAAGGAAGUCAGAUAUGCAUGUUAGAGAUAAAAUAUUGGUUUUAUUGGAUACCUGGCAAGAGGCUUUUGGUGGGCCUGGAGGGAAGCAUCCCCACUACUACUGGGCAUAUGAGGAACUAAGGUGUUCUGGAGUACAAUUUCCCAAGCGUUCCUUGGACACAUCUCCUAUAUUUACACCACCGGCUAGCCAUCCAACAAUAAGACUUAUGGAAGCUGGAUAUGGAAGGCAGACUAAUUCUUCUAGAAGACUAGAUGAAACAAUGGCAACAGAGAUGGAAGGCUUAAGUUUGUCGAGCAUGGAUGCUAUGCGGACCAUUAUGGAACUUUUAAAUGACAUGCUGCAAGCUGUGAAUCCUAGUGACCGCGCAGCUGUUAAAGACGAAGUGAUUGCUGAUCUUGUCAACCGGUGUCGUUCCAACCAAAAGAUGCUAAUGCAAAUGCUAACUACGACUAGUGACGAAGAACUUCUUUGUCGAGGUCUUGAAUUAAAUGACAGUAUGCAGAUCUUACUUGCAAAGCAUGAUGCUAUAGCAUCUGGUUCUCCCAUGCCAAGUCAAGUUACAAAUUUGAGACCCCAACAAACUGAAGUUUGUGAGUCCAGUGUGAAACAUACAGAACCAUCGGACUCUAGUCCAAGAUCUAAUGCGUACACAUCUCCACCAGCUGCAAAUAUGCCUAGGGGCCAGUUUGAUGAAGAUGAGGAAGAAGAAGAUGACUUUGCUCAGCUAGCAAGAAGGCACUCCAAAGGUCAGCCAAUGCCUUCAAGUACAUCUGCUGGAAGCAACGAUGGUCUUAGUAGUACCUCAUCUGAGCUAGGUGCUUCAUCUCCAGUUUCUAACAAUGCAUUAGCAUUAGCUCUUCCUGAUCCACCAGCUUCUGUUAGGACAACAGCAAAAGAACAGGACAUGAUUGACCUUUUGAGUCUUGCUCUAGCAACAAAAUCACCCUCCUCACACUCCCCUCACGCUCCUUCAGACUCUAAUGAAAACAUGCAUCAGGCACCCGUCUCCUCCAGCACUCGAGGGCUACCCUUUGCUUCCCAAAACUUUUCUGGAAACCAAGGGCAUGUGCCCUAUAAUAGUUAUGUUAUUCCAUGGGCCCAGCCUCAACCUCAGCAACAAUUUCAACCACCUCAAUCACAACUUCACCUCCAGCAACAAUUUGAGCUUCAGUCUCGAUCAGGGUUGCAGUGCCUGCAGCAGCCACAAUUCCAACCUCCAUCCCAGGUUCCUCAGUACUCAUCUCAAUAUCCCCCUCCACCAUGGGCAGCAACCCCUGGUUAUGCCAACAACCAAAGUCAUUUGGCUGCUACAAAUAAUAGUAUGUUUUCUACUCCCCAAACAAAUCCAGCCACGCUCUCGACAGACAUGCAGGUAGCUAGACCCUUACAACAUUUCAACUCCUUUCCGUUGAGAGGAAACAAUGGGCCUGCUGUACAUGGUGAUCUUCUGAGCUUUGGUCUUUGGAACCCCACCCCUACUGAAAGGCAGAAGACAUUCAUUCCCUCGUACAGAUUGUUCGAGGAUUUGGAUGUUCUUGGCAAUGCGGAUGGAAAGUUUAAAAUGGCGAGCAACACCAUGCCAAGCAUAUCUGGAACUUCUAGCCAGGGCAUGGUGGGUGGGAGGAAGUGAAUGCGAACCGCGCAGGGCACAGGAGUUGGGACAUAUUUGUGUAAAUGUUUUGCAUCUGAAAGAAAUGGACUUUUAGCUUUGUUCUGGUUCACGUGAACGGGGAAUUGAAGACGGCGCUGAAAGCUUGAAGAAUGUACGGUUGAUUUUCUGAUGCUGAGAGAAGACUGAAGACAAGUAGAAGACGCCGCCGCCGCUGAAAGCUUGAAGAAUCUCUUUUUUCCCUUUUAAAAGUGCAAUGGAGAGAAUUUAUCGUUAGAGAUGGUAGUGCUUUCCAGAGCCCUGGUUUGGAUUCGUCCCCCUCCUUUAUUAUCCUUUGCAUCUUAAUCUUUUUGAAAGCCCAGACCCAUUCUUCUGAGAGCGAUCGGUUUGAAAAAAAAAAGUACAAGAAACAAGACAAACACGGCGUAUUGAGUUUGGUA